AAUGGCGAAUGAACAGGGAUAAGCUCAACUUGAUAAUUGUGGCUUCUGGCUUUGAAUUGUAAUCUCAAGAUGUAGUGCCAAGGAGGGCGUAGGUGUAAGCCUCUUGGAAAAGAGAAUCAUUGAGGGUGAGAAUCCUGUUUGUCACCUGCAGUCCCCCCUGUACGGCCUACCUUCUAAGAGUCACGUUCCUCGGGAUUGGAGCGCAAACUGGGUGGUAAAUUUCAUCUCAAGCUAAAUAUGGGUUCGAAACCGAUAGCAAACAAGUACCAUGAGGGAAAGAUGAAAAGGACUUUGAAAAGAGAGUUAAAAGUGCCUGAACUUGCUGAAAGGAAAGCGGAUGGAACCAGUGUUGCUCGGUGAGAUUGUUGCGCGCUAUGGUGAUGGCCUGCUGCAUCAGCGCAAGCGUUGCUGUGGGUUUUGAUCUUGAUGCGCGUGAUGCUUCUUGCCUUGUGUGUCAUCGUCGGUUCGAUGGUGAGGACAACCCUUGGGACAUGGUAGCUCGCCUCUGGGUGUGUGAACGUGCCUUGUGGAACUCACCUUCGAACUGCAAACCGAAUGUGCGGUUGCGCUGCCCUCGUUCUGCGUCGCUGCCUCUCGCCUUCGUGCGUGCUGGGCGGCGUCGCGCCGCGUGGGGCACCUUCUGCACACAGCUAUGGUGAC
rnacentral:rRNA from 1 species